rnacentral:rRNA from 1 species
CAGUCAUACCAACGGGAAAUCAACCUUUUGAGCUUGAUUUCGUGGGUUUUGAAGAGUUUCAAAGCCUUCGGAUUCGCGAGAUUGGGAUCUCUCGGUGUACUUUCUCGUACGGUUAGUCAACAUCGGUUUUGAAUGUCAUAAAAUGACUGGAGGAAUGUAGCUUCGAUCUUGUAUUGAAGUGUUAUAGCCUUUGGUAGAUGUGAUGUUUGAGACCGAGGAUUGCAACGGAUACCCUUCAGGGCUAUUCGUCUGAUCUCUGAUACGUUGCCUUGAUGUUGAAAGCUUGCUUAUGAUGUUAGGGUAUUACGGUCAAAAGGUUAGAACGAAUUACA